rnacentral:piRNA from 1 species
UNGCAUAGCAUUUCAUGAGAUGUGCGUAUG